AUUGAACGCUGGCGGCAUGCCUUACACAUGCAAGUCGAACGGCAGCACGGGUGCUUGCACCUGGUGGCGAGUGGCGAACGGGUGAGUAAUACAUCGGAACGUACCUUAUCGUGGGGGAUAACGCAGCGAAAGCUGUGCUAAUACCGCAUACGCCCUGAGGGGGAAAGCGGGGGAUCGCAAGACCUCGCGCGAUUAGAGCGGCCGAUGCCUGAUUAGCUAGUUGGUGGGGUAAAAGCCCACCAAGGCGACGAUCAGUAGCUGGUCUGAGAGGACGAUCAGCCAAACUGGGACUGGGACACGGCCCAGACUCCUACGGGAGGCAGCAGUGGGGAAUUUUGGACAAUGGGGGCAACACUGAUCCAGCAAGGCCGCGUGAGUGAAGAAGGCCUUCGGGUUGUAAAGCUCUUUUGUCAGGGAAGAAACACCGGCUCUAACACAGUCCGGGAAUGACGGUACCAGAAGAAUAAGCACCGGCUAACUACGUGCCAGCCGCCGCGGUAA
rnacentral:rRNA from 1 species